rnacentral:rRNA from 1 species
GACGAACGCUGGCGGCGUGCUUAACACAUGCAAGUCGAACGGAAAGGCCCUGCUUUUGUGGGGUGCUCGAGUGACGAACGGGUGAGUAACACGUGAGUAACCUGCCCUUGACUUUGGGAUAACUUCAGGAAACUGGGGCUAAUACCGGAUAGGAGCUCCUGCUGCAUGGUGGGGGUUGGAAAGUUUCGGCGGUUGGGGAUGGACUCGCGGCUUAUCAGCUUGUUGGUGGGGUAGUGGCUUACCAAGGCUUUGACGGGUAGCCGGCCUGAGAGGGUGACCGGCCACAUUGGGACUGAGAUACGGCCCAGACGCCUACGGGAGGCAGCAGUGGGGAAUAUUGCACAAUGGGCGGGAGCCUGAUGCAGCAACGCCGCGUGCGGGAUGACGGCCUUCGGGUUGUAAACCGCUUUCGCCUGUGACGAAGCGUGAGUGACGGUAAUGGGUAAAGAAGCACCGGCUAACUACGUG